rnacentral:misc_RNA from 1 species
GGAAAAGAGAAAAGCUUGGUAUUGACAUGCUAAUUACUCUCUAUACUAGUAUGGGAAACAAAGAUGAUGUCUAUCGUAUAUGGAAUAAAUACAAGCAAAAAGUUAAGCGUCACAAUUCAAGUUAUCAUUGUAUGAUACGUGGACUAGAAAAGUUGGAUGAUCUUGACGGUGCGGAGAAGAUAUUUGCUGAGUGGGAAACAAACAGGGUACACUUUGACAUUCGAAUUCCAAACUUGCUCAUAAGUGCUUACUGCAAGAAGGGUCAUAUGGAAAAAGCAAUAUCACUCAUAGGGCAACUCGAGGCAAG